rnacentral:sRNA from 1 species
UUGACUGAGCCAUAACAAAAUCCUAAAUUAUCGGGUAGGGGUGAGAGGGGUUUCCCCCUCUCUUCCUGACUGUCUUAGUAAGCUGGCGAGCUAAUCACUAAGAGAACAAUCAGGAUGAUGAUUAAUUUCAUCAUAACCCUUUCCUCGUU